rnacentral:lncRNA from 1 species
AUACAAUGAUGAUAACAUAGUUCAGCAGACUAACGCUGAUGAGCAAUAUUAAGUCUUUCGCUCCUAUCUGAUGUAUCUGGCGGUAACAUUCUAGUUUAUGCCCCGAAAAGGGGAAUAUAGCCAUUCUAUAAUGUUUGGAGAUUUUGGAUUACUCCUAAUUGUAUGCAAGUUGUCUUACUGUGUAUUGUCCCUUAAUUUCAGGACUCAGAAUUCAUGAUUGAAGAAAUGCAGGCAGACCUGUUAUCCUAAACUAGGGUUUUUAAUGACCACAACAAGCAAGCAUGCAGCUUACUGCUUGAAAGGGUCUUGCCUCACCCAAGCUAGAGUGCAGUGGCCUUUGAAGCUUACUACAGCCUCAAACUUCUGGGCUCAAGUGAUCCUCAGCCUCCCAGUGGUCUUUGUAGACUGCCUGAUGGAGUCUCAU